ACGGGGCUCAAACCUGACGAUGUUG
rnacentral:sRNA from 1 species